rnacentral:rRNA from 1 species
CCGGCGCACGGGUGCGUAACGCGUAUACAAUCUACCUUUUGCUGCGGGAUAGCCUUUGGAAACGAAGAUUGAUACCGCAUAGUAUACAGAGUUUUCAUGAACAUUGUAUUAAAGGUUACGGCAGAAGAUGAGUAUGCGUCCUAUUAGCUAGUUGGUGUGGUAACGGCACACCAAGGCGACGAUAGGUAGGGGCCCUGAGAGGGGGAUCCCCCACACUGGUACUGAGACACGGACCAG